GGGGUUAGGGUGUAGGUAUGUGCCCCAUAGAGGAUAGCUCUGCCCCAUAGCAGGAACUGGGGGGUGCCUGACUUCCCCUUUCCCCCCCCCAGGCUGGACCAGGAUGGUGCUGACCUGCUGGGGCAGCUGCUGCAGUUCGAGGGGCGGCGGCGGCUGCCGGCAGCUGAGGCCAUGGCGCAUCCGUUCUUCGCCUGCCUGGGGCCCCGCGUCACCACCCUGCCCGACACCACCUCCAUCUUCGCGCUGAAGGAGAUCCAGCUGCAGAAGGAGCCAGGGCUGCGCUCGGCCACGCUGCCCCCCCCAGGUUCCUCUGCCUUCCGGGUGCUUGACACUGAGUUCUGACACUGAGCAGCCCUUGGAUCGCUGCUGCAACGCCAUGGGACCCCCCCCAACACUGGGGGGGCAGGGGGGAUGUUGACCCCCAAAGCUGGGGCAUAUCU